rnacentral:lncRNA from 1 species
UUUAACACCACACUUUUAAUUUUGUUCCUGAAACUAAAUCUUGUAUGCCAUGGAAGAAACAAUUAAUGUAUCAAAUCAUGAUUCAACUCCUAAAAUACUUUAUGAAUAAUAAAUUGUAAUAUUCACCAAUGACAUAAAAUUAGCAAUGUUAAUAGUUUUAGAGUAGGAAUUAAAAAAGAAGCUAAAAAGAGGAAACAUGUGAAAGGCA